AGCUCCAAUAGUGUAUCUUAAAGUUGUUGCAGUUAAAAAGCUCGUAGUUGAAUUUCUGACAGGACAGCGAUCUUAGUGAGAGCAAGUCUAUGUCAUCCGCCUUGGGAACCUCGUUCGUCACUUGUGUCAACGGGGGGAACUGGCAAUUUACUUUGAAGAAAUUAGAGUGUUCCUAGCAGGCUAUGCUUGAAUACAUCAGC
rnacentral:rRNA from 1 species